UUUAAAGUAGGCUUCAAUUCCAAACUCUUUCACUGUCGCAACGCAAACAUACCCUUCGCUUUCUUCUGUGCUUGAGGCCGCCAUAUUUUCUAUAGUGUGAGGUGAUUAUUUUACAAGUAUCUAAUUGGGAGCUAGGCACAAUGGAAGAAGAACAAGUAACCUUCCUAAUUGAUGGAGAAACAGAAGUGAAGCUCUUAAUUUCAAUCCCAACUAGUGCAACCAUAGAGCAACUCAAAGAGAAGAUAAAGGAACAGACAGGUGUUCCAGUUUCUCAACAAACACUUCUAUACGACAACACAAGCUUGUCUGAUUCUUGCACCAUCAAGGAAGGUAAAUUUUGUUCCCCAAUUGUUGGAGUUGUUCUUGAUGUUUCACCAGCUCCGAAGGAAAUCAAUGUGAAUGUCACAGUCACUUGCCUAGCUUUCAGAAUCAGUGUCAUUGUUAACCCUAAUAAGGAAACUGUGAUACAAUUGAAGCAGAAAGUUGGUGAGAUUUGGGGUAUUGAGACUAAGGAUAUUACUCUUUGGAGGCUUUCUAGGAAAAUGCAAGACCAU